rnacentral:rRNA from 1 species
GGGCGUUAAGUUGCAGGGUAUAGACCCGAAACCCGGUGAUCUAGCCAUGGGCAGGUUGAAGGUUGGGUAACACUAACUGGAGGACCGAACCGACUAAUGUUGAAAAAUUAGCGGAUGACUUGUGGCUGGGGGUGAAAGGCCAAUCAAACCGGGAGAUAGCUGGUUCUCCCCGAAAGCUAUUUAGGUAGCGCCUCGUGAAUUCAUCUCCGGGGGUAGAGCACUGUUUCGGCAAGGGGGUCAUCCCGACUUACCAACCCGAUGCAAACUGCGAAUACCGGAGAAUGUUAUCACGGGAGACACACGGCGGGUGCUAACGUCCGUCGUGAAGAGGGAAACAACCCAGACCGCCAGCUAAGGUCCCAAAGUCAUGGUUAAGUGGGAAACGAUGUGGGAAGGCCCAGACAGCCAGGAUGUUGGCUUAGAAGCAGCCAUCAUUUAAAGAAAGCGUAAUAGCUCACUGGUCGAGUCGGCCUGCGCGGAAGAUGUAACGGGGCUAAACCAUGCACCGAAGCUGCGGCAGCGACACUGUGUGUUGUUGGGUAGGGGAGCGUUCUGUAAGCCUGUGAAGGUGUACUGUGAGGUAUGCUGGAGGUAUCAGAAGUGCGAAUGCUGACAUAAGUAACGAUAAAGCGGGUGAAAAGCCCGCUCGCCGGAAGACCAAGGGUUCCUGUCCAACGUUAAUCGGGGCAGGGUGAGUCGACCCCUAAGG